UGGAGAGUUUGAUCCUGGCUCAGGACGAACGCUGGCGGCGUGCUUAACACAUGCAAGUCGAGCGGAAAGGCCCCUUCGGGGGUACUCGAGCGGCGAACGGG
rnacentral:rRNA from 1 species